rnacentral:rRNA from 1 species
GACGAACGCUGGCGGCGUGCUUAACACAUGCAAGUCGAACGGACAGGCCCUGCUUUUGUGGGGUGCUCGAGUGGCGAACAGGUGAGUAUCACGUGAGUAACCUGCCCUUGACUUUGGGGUAACUUCAGGAAACUGGGGCUAAUACCGCAGAUGAGCUCCUGCUGCAUGUGGGUGGUUGGAAAGUUUCGGCGGUUGGGGAUGGACUCGCUGCUUAUCAGCUUGUUUGGGGGGUAGUUGCUUCCGAAGGCUGUGACGGGUAGCCGGCCUGGGAGGGGGGCCGGGCACAAGGGGACUGAGGUACGGAGCAGAAGCGUACGGGAGGCAGCAGUGGAGAACAUUGCAGAAUGGGCCGAAGCCUGAUGCAGCAACGCCGCGUGCGGGAUGACGGCUUUCGGGUGGUAAACAGAUGUGGACUGAGACGAAGCGUGAGUGACGGUAAUGAGUAAAGAAGCAACGGCUAACUACGUG